AUGAAUGUUGGUGGAGGUCAAGCAUUUAGAAGUGGAAUGAAUAUGGGUGGUACCAUUCAAGGUUUAUCCUCAAACUUGGCCACCAGUGGUAAUCGAAAUUAUGUUCCUGGAAACCCAGCUUUGGGUCCACGUAUUACAAACAUUGUGUGCAGAAGUAACAUUGGAAUAAAUAUAAGCUCUGGUGGGUUGUCGGUGCCGAUUAUCUCAUCACACAUCGAUUUUAGGGUCAAUGCUGCAAGUGGAAGACGAAAUGUGCAAGGAUCCAUGAUGAAUGGCCUUAUUCUGCAAGGUAUGCCUGAUGGAGCGAUUGGGUUGAUGCUGAAGCUGAUAUACUCCCCUAAGUUGCUCCAAUCGGGAAUGCAGAUAUACUUCCGUUUCUUCCUAUGGAUUUUGUGGUUGCCAGAUGUUCUCUCACUGUGGAUUGGUAUGAAGGUUGUAAAACAUUUUCAUUAG
rnacentral:rRNA from 1 species